rnacentral:rRNA from 1 species
AGUGAACGCUGGCGGUAGGCCUAACACAUGCAAGUCGAACGGCAGCACAGUAAGAGCUUGCUCUUACGGGUGGCGAGUGGCGGACGGGUGAGGAAUACAUCGGAAUCUACUUUUUCGUGGGGGAUAACGUAGGGAAACUUACGCUAAUACCGCAUACGACCUACGGGUGAAAGCAGGGGAUCUUCGGACCUUGCGCGAUUGAAUGAGCCGAUGUCGGAUUAGCUAGUUGGCGGGGCAAAGGCCCACCAAGGCGACGAUCCGUAGCUGGGCUGAGAGGCUGAACAGCCACCCUGGAGCUGAGCCACGGUCCCGGCUCCUACGGGAGGCAGCAGUGGGGAAUUUUGGACAAUGGGCGCAAGCCUGAUCAGCCAUACCGCGUGGGUGAAGAAGGCCUUCGGGUUGUAAAGCCCUUUUGUUGGGAAAGAAAAGCAGCAGGUUAAUACCCCGCUGUUCUGACGGUACCCAAAGAAUAAGCACCGGCUAACUUCGUG